UGACCGCUGGCGGCGUGCCUACUACAUGCAAGUCGAGCGAACAGACGAGGAGCUUGCUCCUCUGACGUUAGCGGCGGACGGGUGAGUAACACGUGGAUAACCUACCUAUAAGACUGGGAUAACUUCGGGAAACCGGAGCUAAUACCGGAUAAUAUAUUGAACCGCAUGGUUCAAUAGUGAAAGACGGUUUUGCUGUCACUUAUAGAUGGAUCCGCGCCGCAUUAGCUAGUUGGUAAGGUAACGGCUUACCAAGGCAACGAUGCGUAGCCGAACUGAGAGGGUGAUCGGCCACACUGGAACUGAGACACGGUCCAGACUCCUACGGGAGGCAGCAGUAGGGAAUCUUCCGCAAUGGGCGAAAGCUUGACGGAGCAACGCCGCGUGAGUGAUGAAGGUCUUCGGAUCGUAAAACUCUGUUAUUAGGGAAGAACAAAUGUGUAAGUAACUAUGCACGUCUUGACGGUACCUAAUCAGAAAGCCACGGCUAACUACGUG
rnacentral:rRNA from 1 species